AACCCAUGUUGAGGACAUUUUCAGAGGAGUUCCAUGAACUUUUCCCAUAUCUCAAAUAGAGACUCCAAUUCCAUUUGUAAGAAGGAAGAAAUCUCAUUCCUAAGCUU